rnacentral:lncRNA from 1 species
AAAGAAACUAAAAUUAAAAUUCAAAGAAGACCAACACAAAGGCCAGAGGCUCCUGACCUUGGACGGACACAAAAAUGCGGCGAGAUCUUAUCCCUCCUUUUGUACCUCUAGCCAAUGAAGAUAAAAAAAACCAGCAAUACCGACAGUAAAACUCAGUUUAAAAGAAGUCCGUGUCCGGUGUCAGGAUAGGUAAAAAAUGAAACUUAACAAAAUGACAAUGAUGCAUAAAUUAACAAAGGACUACUAGCAGUUACUGACAUGCCAGCUCCACACCUCAAUUGAACGGAUUGAAAGAUUAUGACUGUCUUAAUUAUUUGAAUAUCAAGCACAAUCCCUCCUGUUAGGGGUUGCGUAUCAUACAAUCAUAAAAUAUAAGAGAAG